CAGUCUCCAGACAGGCAAAGGAAGUCUCACUCACAGCUAGCUAGCUAGCAAGCUAACAUUGGUAUCUGUAGUUUUCUGAGCGAACGGUAUGGAUUCAUAUAAAUAAUCGUUUGAUUGAGACCCAGCCAUGUCUCAGCUGGAGAAGAAGGCGGGGCUUCUGAGAAGGACGUCCUCCUCUAAGAAACCCCUGAAGGAGAAAGUGGUGCUGAUGUAUGAUGAGAUCUUUGCGAAAGAGGAUCCAGCCAAGAACAACUCCCGUUUCUGGGAUGAACUCUUCCUCAUGAAGGUAA